UACGGGAGGCAGCAGUGGGGAAUUUUGGACAAUGGGCGAAAGCCUGAUCCAGCAAUGCCGCGUGUGUGAAGAAGGCCUUCGGGUUGUAAAGCACUUUUGUCCGGAAAGAAAUCCUUGGCUCUAAUACAGUCGGGGGAUGACGGUACCGGAAGAAUAAGCACCGGCUAACUACGUGCCAGCAGCCGCGGUAAUACGUAGGGUGCGAGCGUUAAUCGGAAUUACUGGGCGUAAAGCGUGCGCAGGCGGUUUGCUAAGACCGAUGUGAAAUCCCCGGGCUCAACCUGGGAACUGCAUUGGUGACUGGCAGGCUAGAGUAUGGCAGAGGGGGGUAGAAUUCCACGUGUAGCUGUGAAAUGCGUAGAGAUGUGGAGGAAUACCGAUGGCGAAGGCAGCCCCCUGGGCCAAUACUGACGCUCAUGCACGAAAGCGUGGGGAGCAAACAGGAUUAGAUACCCUGGUAGUCCACGCCCUAAACGAUGUCAACUAGUUGUUGGGGAUUCAUUUCCUUAGUAACGUAGCUAACGCGUNAAGU
rnacentral:rRNA from 1 species